rnacentral:lncRNA from 1 species
GGUUCUAACAGCAAUAAUAUUCAUAAUAUCUUCCAUAAGUGAUCAUAAGUAGAGCAUUUUCUCGGAUUCUUCUUAAUCACUACUUAGUAUAAAGAAUUUCCUCAAUCAGAUUACAAAUAGAGACCGUAUGACAUCAGUUCAAUUAAGUGUCGAAUUCUUUACAAGUUCUAAUAAGUAUAUAUUAAAUUAGAUAUCAUUGGCACUCCA